AAGCCCAUUUUGAGCCUAACUAAU
rnacentral:siRNA from 1 species